UGCUUACCGCUCUCAUAUAGUAAGUAAACCCUGCCCACUGAUAUCUUAAAUGGCCGCGGUACCUUAACCGUGCUAAGGUAGCAUAAUCACUUGUCUAUUAAUUGUAGACUAGAAUGAAUGGGUAAACGAAAUAAUUCCUAUCUAAUUACGGAACCUAAAAACUAUCCAUUAAGUGAAGAUACUUAAAUAAAACUAAAGGACAAGAAGACCCUAUAGAGCUUUAAACUUAUCUAUUUAAUAAAUAAAUAAGUUUUGGUUGGGGCGACCUAGGAAUAUAAUCAUCCUAUAAAAUAAAGAUUCAUAUAUCACUUUAUCAAACUUUCUUAAAAAUCUUAAUAUAGUUACCUUAGGGAUAACAGGCUAAUCUCAUUCCAGAGUUCCUAUCACAAAUGAAGGUUGGCACCUCGAUGUUGGCUUAGAUUUACCUUAAUGAUGCAGAAAUCAUAAAAGUAGGUUUGUUCAACCUAUAAAAAUCU
rnacentral:rRNA from 1 species